rnacentral:rRNA from 1 species
CCUACGGGCGGCAGCAGUGAGGAAUAUUGGUCAAUGGGCGCGAGCCUGAACCAGCCAAGUAGCGUGAAGGAUGACUGCCCUACGGGUUGUAAACUUCUUUUGUCAGGGAGCAACGCCGGCUACGUGUAGCCGGACUGAGAGUACCUGAAGAAAAAGCAUCGGCUAACUCCGUGCCAGCAGCCGCGGUAAUACGGAGGAUGCGAGCGUUAUCCGGAUUUAUUGGGUUUAAAGGGUGCGUAGGCGGAAUGCCAAGUCAGCGGUAAAAUCGCGGGGCUCAACCUCGCUCCGCCGUUGAAACUGGCGUUCUGGAGUGGGCGAGAAGUAUGCGGAAUGCGUGGUGUAGCGGUGAAAUGCAUAGAUAUCACGCAGAACUCCGAUUGCGAAGGCAGCAUACCGGCGCCCAACUGACGCUGAAGCACGAAAGCGUGGGUAUCGAACAGGAUUAGAUACCCUGGUAGUC